UACGUAGGGUCCGAGCGUUGUCCGGAGUACUGGGCGUAAAGCGCGCGCAGGCGGCGGUGCUGGCCCGGCGUGAAAGCCCCCGGCUCAACUGGGGAGGGUCACGCGAUACUGAUCGACUGGAAGGCAGGAGAGGGUAGUGGAAUUCCCGGUGUAGUGGUGAAAUGCGUAGAUAUCGGGAGGAACACCAAUGGCGAAGGCAGCCUCCUGGGCCAAUACUGACACUCAUGCACGAAAGCGUGGGGAGCAAACAGG
rnacentral:rRNA from 1 species